GAUGAAGAACGUAGCGAAAUGCGAUAAGUAAUGCGAAUUGCAGAAUCCGUGAGUCAUCGAAUCUUUGAACGCACAUUGCGCCCUCUGGUAUUCCGGAGGGCAUGCCUGUUCGAGCGUCAUUAUCACCCCCCAAGCCCGGCUUGUUGUUGGAUGCAGCGCUUAUCCCGCUCCUCCCAAAGAUAAUGACGGCGUCUGCGACGACUCCUGUACACUGAGCUUUCGGGCACGUACACGGCUAGAAGUCCAGACCCGGUCGCCGUCCCCCCCCGCGGGGACACCCAUUACCACAAGGUUGACCUCGGAUCAGGUAGGAAUACCCGCUGAACUUAAGCAUAUCAAUAAGCGGAGGA
rnacentral:misc_RNA from 1 species